rnacentral:rRNA from 1 species
UACGUAGGGGGGCUAGCGUUGUCCGGAAUCAUUGGGCGUAAAGCGCGUGUAGGCGGCCCGGUAAGUCCGCUGUGAAAGUCGGGGGCUCAACCCUCGAAAGCCGGUGGAUACUGUCGGGCUCGAGUGCGGAAGAGGCGAGUGGAAUUCCUGGUGUAGCGGUGAAAUGCGCAGAUAUCAGGAGGAACACCGAUUGCGAAGGCAGCUCGCUGGGACGUUACUGACGCUGAGACGCGAAAGCGUGGGGGAGCAAACAGG